rnacentral:rRNA from 1 species
GUCGAACGGUAACAGGUUAAGCUGACGAGUGGCGAACGGGUGAGUAAUGUAUCGGAACGUGCCCAGUCGUGGGGGAUAACUGCUCGAAAGAGCAGCUAAUACCGCAUACGACCUGAGGGUGAAAGCGGGGGAUCGCAAGACCUCGCGCGAUUGGAGCGGCCGAUAUCAGAUUAGGUAGUUGGUGAGGUAAAGGCUCACCAAGCCGACGAUCUGUAGCUGGUCUGAGAGGACGACCAGCCACACUGGGACUGAGACACGGCCCAGACUCCUACGGGAGGCAGCAGUGGGGAAUUUUGGACAAUGGGCGCAAGCCUGAUCCAGCCAUGCCGCGUGCGGGAAGAAGGCCUUCGGGUUGUAAACCGCUUUUGUCAGGGAAGAAAAGGUUCUGGCUAAUACCUGGGACUCAUGACGGUACCUGAAGAAUAAGCACCGGCUAACUACGUGCCAGCAGCCGCGGUAAUACGUAGGGUGCAAGCGUUAAUCGGAAUUACUGGGCGUAAAGCGUGCGCAGGCGGUUAUGCAAGACAGAGGUGAAAUCCCCGGGCUCAACCUGGGAACUGCCUUUGUGACUGCAUGGCUAGAGUACGGUAGAGGGGGAUGGAAUUCCGCGUGUAGCAGUGAAAUGCGUAGAUAUGCGGAGGAACACCGAUGGCGAAGGCAAUCCCCUGGACCUGUACUGACGCUCAUGCACGA